GCAACGAGCGCAACCCUUGUCCCGUGUUGCCAGCAGGCCCUUGUGGUGCUGGGGACUCACGGGAGACCGCCGGGGUCAACUCGGAGGAAGGUGGGGACGACGUCAAGUCAUCAUGCCCCUUAUGUCUUGGGCUGCACACGUGCUACAAUGGCCGGUACAAUGAGCUGCGAUACCGCGAGGUGGAGCGAAUCUCAAAAAGCCGGUCUCAGUUCGGAUUGGGGUCUGCAACUCGACCCCAUGAAGUCGGAGUCGCUAGUAAUCGCAGAUCAGCAUUGCUGCGGUGAAUACGUUCCCGGGCCUUGUACACACCGCCCGUCACGUCACGAAAGUCGGUAACACCCGAAGCCGGUGGCCCAACCCCUUGUGGGAGGGAGCUGUCGAAGGUGGGACUGGCGAUUGGGACGAAGUCGUAACAAGGUAGCCGUACCGGAAGGUGCGGCUGGAUCACCUCCUUUCUAA
rnacentral:rRNA from 1 species